UGGACAACCUUAGUUGGCCGUCGAUUCGACCCGUGUGUGGGACUGUGUGAAGGCGCGGGUAUCCGUGGUGGUGUGGGAGUGAAUCCAGGGGCGCACAAAGACCAGAACCUCUACGAUUGCUCGUCGGAGUCCGUAAGAUCCGCCAUGCGGCCAUCAUCCGUGGCUAGCUAUCUCUGUAACCCUCCGUCUACGGUACGUGUUCCCAUUCGGUCCCUAUUCAUCGCCUCUGUAUAAAUUUGGGGCUUGCGUUGGAUUUCACCAACGGUGUGCCUCGAUCACUCAGCGCCGGGCUCGUGCCGCCGCGUAGGGCGCGCUCCGCCACCGUCUCAGACCGCGGAGGGGGAAUGAAGGCAGUGGGCCAUUGAUUUUUUUGGUGGACCACUAGGAUUGAUCGGCAUACCGAUUCGGUGGGAUUAAUCUGGGGCAUUGAUCUGAGAGUGGGCGGUCUCAGAUCGGCCAUGUGACUUAAAAACCGUGGCCGUUGGAUCCAAUCGGAGCGCUCCUAAGUGAUUUUAGGGUAGCUGAAUCCGCGCCAUCAGUUCCUAAAUGGAUGGCGGAUAUCCCGUACCGGUUCGAUGUAUUGUGGAUCUAAUCUAGAUCGUAGAAUCCCGAUCGGACGACCAUCGUCCGCCCGUACCCCUUCGACCGGUCAAUUUAGCGUUUAGGCCCCUGAUGGUGCAGUCCAUUAUGCUGUGUUCUGUGUCUUGCGAAUUCUUGCGCUGGGGCCCCUGCACUUCUCCGUAUUUGACGCCCAGUCCAGAGGGGAAUAAAAAUAGAGAAAUAAUUAUUGAAAUUGGUUUUUAAUACAAAAAUUGUGGCAAAACCUCCCAAGUUAUUGGGCCCACAUGCACCUGCCCUUGUUUCAAAGACCUCAGACAGUUAUGCAUGUGCACCAGAUGACUUAACAGGAUCCGUCCGAGUGCCCCAAGGACCCCGGAUAAACCACUUACAACUAGGAUCGCAAGAUUAAGUAA
rnacentral:lncRNA from 1 species